AGCGAACGCUGGCGGCAGGCUUAACACAUGCAAGUCGGACGGUCCUUCGGGAUAGUGGCGGACGGGUGAGUAACACGUGGGAACGUACCCUUAGGUUCGGAACAACACAGGGAAACUUGUGCUAAUACCGGAUGAGCCCGUCGGGGGAAAGAUUUAUCGCCUUUGGAGCGGCCCGCGUCUGAUUAGCUUGUUGGUGAGGUAAUGGCUCACCAAGGCUACGAUCAGUAGCUGGUCUGAGAGGAUGGCCAGCCACACUGGGACUGAGACACGGCCCAGACUCCUACGGGAGGCAGCAGUGGGGAAUCUUGCGCAAUGGGCGAAAGCCUGACGCAGCCAUGCCGCGUGGAUGAUGAAGGUCUUAGGAUUGUAAAAUCCUUUCACCGGGGACGAUAAUGACGGUACCCGGAGAAGAAGCCCCGGCUAACUUCGUGCCAGCCGCCGCCGUAA
rnacentral:rRNA from 1 species